rnacentral:rRNA from 1 species
UAGAACGUCGUGAGACAGUUCGGUCCCUAUCCGCCGCGCGCGCAGGAGACUUGAGGAAGGCUGUCCCUAGUACGAGAGGACCGGGACGGACGAACCUCUGGUGUGCCAGUUGUCCCGCCAGGGGCAUGGCUGGUUGGCUAUGUUCGGAAGGGAUAACCGCUGAAGGCAUCUAAGCGGGAAGCCUGUUCCAAGAUGAGGUCUCCCACCACCUUGCGUGGUUAAGGCCCCCAGCAGACCACUGGGUUGAUAGGCCAGAGAUGGAAGUCCUGUGAGGGAUGGAGUUGACUGGUACUAAUAGGCCGAGGGCUUGUUCAUG